UGAGAUAUUUCUUUUGUUAUGCCUCCAGUCAGUAAUUGUCAAGAAACAAUAACAGAUGGUAGAUGAACAUGAAAUAUUAAUUGUGGGUAUAGCAAGCACCCACAACAUACAUUAAUUUAACAUUUUAACACUCUGUGCUAUAAUAUCUCAUGUUUUUGAAAACAGUUCCAGAAUUUAUAUUGCUUUCUAGAUUUUGAUCAU